GAACUUUCCAGCUAGAGUUUGACCUAAGGAAGGAUUUCAAAACUUACCCCUGCAAUGCUUUAACAGCAUUCAAGUCAAAUGGAGGCUUUUCAUACAGUGAAAUCCACAGUAGCUCUCUGUGGUAUGUAGGGCUACUAGCCAGAUAUACCUGAAAGCAAGCGCUUGCCUUGCUCUCCCUCUGCCACAGAACGAUGACACAGGGAUAACAAAGGGAAAUACCAGGGAAUGUCAAGUCAAACAAAUCGUAGAUCUUCUCUGGCGGCUUCUUUGACCUUGUUCUGAGUGAACACCGUGUACAUCAAGGAAGAUAAUUACAACUUUUUCAAGUCUUCUAAAAUCGAAUCCAUUUGGAGUUCUUUCUGAUGCAUUAUGUGAGAAAAACAAGCAAACAAAUGAACACUUAUUUGUAUUUGAAUUGCACUAAAUUUAUACAUGAAACUGAAAAAAACUGAUAUCUUUAUGAAGCUGCAUAAUCCUAUCCAAGGACAGACGUCUCCUUCCAUUUGUUUUGGAUACAUCUGGAAUUGACUUUUUUGCAUGGUGUAAGAAAUAACAGUUCUUCCUGGAUCAGCCCUCUCCCGUCUGUCAUCUCCAACAGAUACAAAGCCAGCUUUAAGAAGACCAAACCUACAAAAAUCAUUCAUGCUUUCUGCCUCCAUGUUUUUCUUUCCAACCUAGUUCCUCCAGAAAAUGUAAAAGAGCAACCGAACCGUCAACUGGUACAAUGACUUCUACACAUCAGACCUCGGCCACGCCACAGUCAUCAGAUUAUUCUAUCACAGGGUCUCUCAACCGUGGAAUAUGGUCUCCAAGGGAAACAAGCCACAGAGGGCUCAGGAGCAUUGCUAUAAAGAGUAGGCAAAUGGAAAUCUUUCCCCAAAGGGCACACUGGGAUUGUUAGGCGAGGGCUGCUCAAUCCAUUAAAAGUUUAAACUCGAAAAAAAAAAAGAAAAAAAAAACCUUUUGAAAAAAUACAGAAAGCAACCUGUUCUAGAUUUUGUGUAUAAAAGAGAGUUUAUUCAGGGGACUGAAAUGUUGACAGUGAAUCAACUGGGAGGAUAUUUUCAAUCAGAACCGUCUGACUGACAGCUUUCAUAUUAUUAAUGCACAUACUAGGAGACAUCAAAUUUGAAGGGCAGGCAUUGUGCUAAGUCAGACUUCUACCUUAAAAUGCAUUACAUUUUGUCUGUAAAUCAAGGUCAGUUAUUAAAUUAAGGUGCUCUCAUCCCUAAAUACUUUAUUCCAUCAUCGUGUGUAAUUAAUCACAAACCCCUUACUUGGGGUUCUUUAGAAAGUGAUGAGCAAAACCCAUAAAAAAUUAAGAGAAAAAAUAACAGGUAUCUUUUAAAAAACAGGGAAUAAGUGCAAGGAAAUUUAAGUAUAAGUAAAAAAAUUUGCACGAUUCUUUAAAUAGAUAAUAGAUAUAAUAAUAAUAAUUUUGCAGCCCUACAAUUCCACAGCAUAUUAAUCUUUUCAAAUCUGUUAUUUUUCACCAUUAAAACAAUCAUGUAAAACAGGUGGAGUACUUCAAUAUUCCAAUUUCACAGAUGCAUACACUGAGUCAAGGAAAAGUUAAGUAUCUAUUAAGUCAUCCAGCUUACUGGAUAUGGAACUGAGACUUGAAAGCAUAUCUUCUAAAUCCGACCUCUUCUCUAAAGAUAGUGUCACCUUUCUCCAAAGAUAGUGUCAGGACAUAGAAAGCAGAAGUUAAACUGUAUGCGCUAUUCUGCCUUCCAUACUUAUUUUUCCCAAGAAGUAAUUUAAAAAACACAUUGGAGAUAAUGCUUGUGAAGCACUUUGCUAAAUGCUAAAUUGUCCGAACACUUUGGAAAAAAGUGGCAGUUUCUUAAAAAAUUAACAAAGAAUUACCAUAUGACCCAGCAAUUCCACUCCUAGCCAUGUACUGAGGAGAACUGAAAAUAUAUGUCCAUGUAAAAACUUAGAGUUAAAUAUUUGUAGCAGCUUUAUUUAAAAUAGCCAAAAAGUGGAAACAACCCCCCAAAAAUGUGCCUCAGUGAUGGAUGUAUAAAUAAAACAUGUUGUAUACAUAACAAUGAAAUAUUAUUUAGCCACAAAAAGAAAUGAAGUUUCUUUUUAUAUUAGUUGGCCAUAAAAAGAAAUAAAGAGUUUUUUGUUUUGUUUUGUUUUGUUUUUUUGUAGCAUGUACUGACCUGGAAAACCUCAUGCUAAGUGAAAGAAGGCAGUUACAAAGGACCACAUAUUUUUGAUACCAUUUAUAUAACAUGUCUAGAACAGGCAAAUCUAGAGAGAUGGAAAGUAGGUUAGUGGUUGGCUAGUACUAGAGUAAGCAAGCAGGGAUUGGAGGGUAUUGGCUAAGGAAUACAGGGUUUCUUUCUGUGGUGCUUUUCUUAAAAAGUUCUAAAAUUGAUUGUUGUGUUGUUUGCACAAUGCUGUGAAUAUCCUAAAAGCUACUGAAUGAUACACUUUAAAUGGGUGAAUUAUAUGGUAGGUAGAUUAUGUCUCAAUAAAACUGUUAAAAAACACAAAA
rnacentral:lncRNA from 1 species